GUGGGGAUAGGUGAGAGGUAGAGGAGAGGAGU
rnacentral:tRNA from 1 species